rnacentral:rRNA from 1 species
GACGAACGCUGGCGGCGUGCUUAACACAUGCAAGUCGAACGGAAAGGCCCUGCUUUUGUGGGGUGCUCGAGUGGCGAAAGGGUGAGUAAAAAGUGAGUAACCUGCCAUUGACUUUGGGAUAACUUCAGGAAACUGGGGCUAAUACCGGAUAGGAGCUGCUGCUGCAUGGUGGGGGUUGGAAAGUUUCGGCGGUUGGGGAUGGACUCGCGGCGUAUCAGCUUGUUGGUGGGGUAGUGGCUUACCAAGGCUUUGACGGGUAGCCGGCCUGAGAGGGUGACCGGCCACAUUGGGACUGAGAUACGGCCCAGACUCCUACGGGAGGCAGCAGUGGGGAAUAUUGCACAAUGGGCGGAAGCCUGAUGCAGCAACGCCGCGUGCGGGAUGACGGCCUUCGGGUUGUAAACCGCUUUCGCCUGUGACGAAGCGUGAGUGACGGUAAUGGGUAAAGAAGCACCGGCUAACUACGUG